rnacentral:rRNA from 1 species
UACGAAGGGUGCAAGCGUUACUCGGAAUUACUGGGCGUAAAGCGUGCGUAGGUGGUUUGUUAAGUCUGAUGUGAAAGCCCUGGGCUCAACCUGGGAACGGCAUUGGAAACUGGCUUACUAGAGUGCGGUAGAGGGGUGUGGAAUUCCUGGUGUAGCGGUGAAAUGCGCAGAUAUCAGGAAGAACACCCGUGGCGAAGGCGGCUCUCUGGGACGGUACUGACGCUGAGACGCGAAAGCGUGGGGAGCGAACAGG